UACGUAGGGGGCAAGCGUUGUCCGGAUUUACUGGGCGUAAAGAGCGUGUAGGCGGCCAAACAGGUCCGUUGUGAAAACUGGAGGCUCAACUUCCAGACGUCGACGGAAACCGUGUGGCUAGAGUCCGGAAGAGGAGAGUGGAAUUCCGUGGUGUAGCGGUGAAAUGCGCAGAUAUCAGGAAGAACACCAAUGGCGAAGGCAGCUCUCUGGGACGGUACUGACGCUGAGGAGCGAAAGCGUGGGGAGCGAACAGG
rnacentral:rRNA from 1 species